rnacentral:lncRNA from 1 species
AUGAAGGGUGCUGGUUGGUUUGAAUUAUUAUCCUGUUUUAGAUGGUUUUCCUUCCCCAAUCUAAAGUUAGAGGAGGAAAAUGGCCUGUCCCUUGAUUGGGAAGAUCCAAGGAAACAUUUCAGCGAUGAAAGCAAUCUUGAGAAGUGGAACAACAGACGGAAAAGAGGAAACAAAGGCAGCCUGCAGUGUGGGGCACCCCAUGGUUCCGGCAUGAGCAAACAAAGGCUGAACACCGAGCUCUCCUGGCAAACACCCUUUAUCACAGAGUCCACAGACGGGAGACAGAUAAAGACUUGGAAAGACCUGCCAGUCAGACAAGCAGCCCACGGGAAGCCUGUGCACAUCCAUGUCAGGUCCGAAGAGACUUCUGUUUCACCAGCCUACCGAGAUUCCAGAGUGCUCAGGGAUACAAACAAAGACGUGAACGGAUUGAAGAGCCAUUGGUGCAGUCGAGGAGAAGGGACGGACAAACCUGUGGACUUGGAUGCCUCUGAGAAGCCUUCAAGGCUCCACAGAGGCUGCCAGCUCUGA